rnacentral:rRNA from 1 species
AGCAGCCGCGGUAAUUCCAGCUCCAAUAGCGUAUAUUAAAGUUGUUGCAGUUAAAAAGCUCGUAGUUGAAUUUCGGGAUUGGCGCAUCGGUCGUGCCUCACGGGGUAUGAACUGGUGCAGUCAAUUUCUCACCUUCUGGAGAACCGCGAUGUCCUUAAUUGGGUGCCGCGGGGAACCAGGACCUUUACUUUGAAAAAUUAGAGUGUUUAAAGCAGGCAUUUUUGCUUGAAUACAUUAGCAUGGAAUAAUAAAAUAGGACGGCAUGGUUCUAUUUUGUUGGUUUCUAGGACCACCGUAAUGAUUAAUAGGGAUAGUUGGGGGCAUUAGUAUUCAAUUGUCAGAGGUGAAAUUCUUGGAUUUAUUGAAGACUAACUACUGCGAAAGCAUUUGCCAAGGAUGUUUUCAUUAAUCAAGAACGAAAGUUAGGGGAUCGAAGACGAUCAGAUACCGUCGUAGUCUUAACCAUAAACUAUGCCGACUAGGAAUCAGACGAUGUUAAUUUUUAAUGACUCGUUGCUAC